rnacentral:rRNA from 1 species
GACGAACGCUGGCGGCGUGCUUAACACAUGCAAGUCGAACGGAAAGGCCCUGCUCUUGCUGGGUGCUCGAGUGGCGAACGGGUGAGUAACACGUGAGUAACCUGCCCUUGACUUUGGGAUAAAUUCAGGAAACUGGGGCUAAUACCGGAUAGGAGCUCCUGCUGCAUGGUGGGGGUUGGAAAGUUUCGGCGGUUGGGGAUGGACUCGCGGCUUAUCAGCUUGUUGGUGGAGUAGUGGCGUACCAAGGCUUUGACGGGUAGGCGGCAUGGGAGGGUGAACGGCGACAUUGCGACUGAGAUAGGGAGCAGACUGCUACGGGAGGCAGUAGUGGGGAAUAUUGCACAGUGGGCGGGCGCCAGAUGCAAAAGCGCUGCGAGCGGGAUGCUGUGCUUCGGGUUAUAAACCGCUUUCGCCUGUGACGAAGAGUGCGUGACGGUAAUGGGUCAAGAAGCACCGGCUAACUACGUG